rnacentral:tRNA from 1 species
UGCGGGGUGGAGCAGUCUGGUAGCUCGUCGGGCUCAUAACCCGAAGGUCGCGGGUUCGAAUCCCGCCCCCGCUACCA